ACGAAUUUCUAUGUUGUGAUGAAGUCCUUAGGACUAUUUUGAUCGAUAAAGAAAGAUUUAUCACGUAAUCCUUAAAUUGGUUCGCGACCAUACGAUAUGCGAUUACUAAGAUGAUAGAGACAACAAGUAUAGGUCGUUGUGUGCCAUAUACGUUAGUUAUCCUCAUAACCAAAUAGUGUGGAGAUAUUGGUAUGACAUGCAGGUGAGAUAUAAGAGUAUAUUGUCACUGAACAUGACCAACUGCAGAGUACUCUACUGUC
rnacentral:lncRNA from 1 species